AGGGGGUGUCUUGGGGAGUGGGGGGAAGGUAAGGUCCCCUGAGGCCUGGGGGGAGGUGAGGCAGGGGAGGAGCCUGGCCUGGGGGCACCGCACCCUCCUGUCCCGCUGCCUGCAGGCCCACGUGAUGUCUCGGAAGAAUCCAGGAAGGAGGGAGGGCGUCCACUCUGAUGUGGCCAUCUGACGUGCCUGCGUCCACGCCCAGGCCGUGUUUGGGUGACCAUUCUGUGCCUUGCGACAUCCCUUACUCUCUGCUCUCGGAGUUGAGGCUGUUCGGCGGUGCCUUCGACUCCCGGCAAAGGCCGGCUGGACGGACACGCAGGCAGCAGACACGCCUGAUGGUGUAGGGACGCCCUGAGGAGCAUCUUCACUGCACCCCUUAUGGUUAGAAGAAAUUAGCAGCGUGGGGCGGCGGCACAGGCCUGGCAAAGUGCACAAAAUGAAAUACUUUCAAAGCGUUACAUUAGAACCGCGGUGACUGGAGAUGGUGCAGUUUUACACUAGAGCUGGGAAGGCAGUUCAGUGUCUUUGAUGUUCGGAGCACUCGCAGCACUGCCCUGCCUCGCUGGAGGCGGGCUUGGGAGUCAGGAGCUACCAGGACCCGCAGACGCCGGCGGGAGCAGAGGCUGCCCCUGGGGUCUACCUCCCGGGCCGCAAGCCCUGUCUCGGUUAUCCACUCCCUCCCGGGCUGUAUCAGCUCAAGGCGCCUGUGCCCACCGCAAACAGGCAUGGAGAAGGUGGCAGGCUGUGUGUCUGCUAGAUGCAGGGACGCCUGGAGACACGCAGGCAACCUUGGACCCUGGGGGCUGUCACAGUGACGUCUCUGCCGGGCUGUUGCUGAGACAGGGACGCCCAGUCCCUCGUGGUGGCCCUGUGGGUCUGUGCUCACAGAAAGGACCACAGGGCCCUGGCGGCGUGGGGGGCAGGGGAGCUCCCUCUGGGUGGCGCCACUUCUGUCUGGGGGGGAUCCAGGGGCCUAUGAGACUGCACACGUGGAUCAGAGCGCGUGACCUACAGGCAGCAUCCUGCACCGUCGGCCACACCAUCUCACCGAGUGUCGACAGCUGGACAGCACACAGCUCAGUCGCGUUCUGUGGCGGCUGCUCUCUGAAUAAAGUGCCGGGGUGGCCAGCUGCACCAGCCCCUUCCUCUCCCCGGCCGGCGUCCACGGCGGGGCCUGGGCUGCCUCGCUUUGCUCUCUGCUCGGUCGUCUUGCAACGCUGAAGCUCCUUGCCUGGCGUGGCUUCCGUGAGGACGUGGCGUGUCCCUCGCCUUCACCCACCACACCUGCAGGAGCCCCUCUCCCAAAUGCGGCCGCAGCCCCAGCACUGGGGACACGACUCAACCCGGCAGGAGCUGGGGAGUUGAGACGGCCGCCGUAGCUCAGGGCCCCAGCGCCGGGGUGCACAGCCCUGCUGCCCUUGGCCUUGUUGCCCAGCUGGCAUGGUCCUUCCAGAGAGAGAGGACA